ensembl:lncRNA
AGCGUUCCGCGCCCGCCGCCCGGCCCGCGCAUUGUGCGCGCUGACUCGCUGGGCGGGGUGUCCGCCGGCAUGGCUUGGGCUCCGGUGGUUCCCGAGGGCCGACACUCCCGGAGUGGAGCUGGCUACACCGAGGCCCAAGACCGCCUCUGAAGCCGGCGGGCGCCACGUCUCAGAGGGCGGGCAGAGGCAGCUCGGGCCCAGGUGGAGAACAUCCUCGUCGAACGCCGGACCGCACCUCUGGACUGGAACCCGCUCCUGAGACCGCACCCCCGGGACCGGAGCGCGCCCCGCAUCGUGCAAACAUUCCACUCAACAAAUAUUUGUGGGUUGUUCAGAAAUUGUUUCCUGCUCUGACCUGUGAAAGAACUAUCGAAAUUUCUGCAACAGAACAAAAACUGUAAUGGUUGUGAACCUUUUUCACCAAGCUGAUCCAGAAAGCCAAGCCCAUCAGAAACAAAAGGUUAUAGAAAACAGAAUUAGCAGCAUUUAGUACGUCAGCAAAAGGAGUGUCAGGUCCCAAAGACAUCUUUUGCAAUUUCUUCCCAAUAUCUGCAGCUGACCAGAUACCUGUGUGGAUGGAGGCUUGCCACUCAUUUCCCAGUGCAUAGACCAUUAUAGCUGUCACAGAACCCAUUGGCCCAAGAUCCAGACUUAAUUGACAAUCUGUACAGGAAGAACUACUCUCAGAACAGUAUUGCAUGUCACAG